rnacentral:rRNA from 1 species
GAUGUCGAUUUGGAGUUUGUUGCCUAGAGUGAUGGGCUCCGAAGCUAACGCGAUAAAUCGACCGCUGGGAGUACGGCCGCAAGGUUAAAACUCAAAUGAAUGACGGGGGCCCGCACAAGCGGUGGAGCAUGUGGUUUAUUUCGAUGCAACGCGAAGAACUUUACCUGGUCUUGACAUCCAUAGAAUUCUGCAGAGAUGUGGGAGUGCCUUCGGGAACUAUGAGACAGGUGCUGCAUGGCUGUCGUCAGCUCGUGUUGUGAAAUGUUGGGUUAAGUCCCGCAACGAGCGCAACCCUUAUUCUUUGUUGCCAGCGAUUUGGUCGGGAACUCAAAGGAGACUGCCGUUGAUAAAGCGGAGGAAGGUGGGGACGACGUCAAGUCAUCAUGGCCCUUACGACCAGGGCUACACACGUGCUACAAUGGCGUAUACAAAGGGAAGCGAAGGUGCGAGCUGGAGCGGAUCUCAUAAAGUACGUCUAAGUUCGGAUUGGAGUCUGCAACUCGACUCCAUGAAGUCGGAAUCGCUAGUAAUCGUAGAUCAGAAUGCUACGGUGAAUACGUUCCCGGGCCUUGUACACACCGCCCGUCACACCAUGGGAGUGGGUUGCACCAGAAGUAGAUAGCUUAACCGCGAGGGGGGCGUUUACCACGGUGUGAUUCAUGACUGGGGUGAAGUCGUAACAAGGUAACCA